GACGAACGCUGGCGGCGUGCCUAAUACAUGCGAGUAGAACGCUGAAGGAGGAGCUUGCUUCUCUGGAUGAGUUGCGAACGGGUGAGUAACGCGUAGGUAACCUGCCUGGUAGCGGGGGAUAACUAUUGGAAACGAUAGCUAAUACCGCAUAAUAGUAGAUGUUGCAUGACAUUUACUUAAAAGGUGCAAUUGCAUCACUACCAGAUGGACCUGCGUUGUAUUAGCUAGUUGGUGGGGUAACGGCUCACCAAGGCGACGAUACAUAGCCGACCUGAGAGGGUGAUCGGCCACACUGGGACUGAGACACGGCCCAGACUCUUACGGGAGGCAGCAGUAGGGAAUCUUCGGCAAUGGACGAAAGUCUGACCGAGCAACGCCGCGUGAGUGAAGAAGGUUUUCGGAUCGUAAAGCUCUGUUGUAAGAGAAGAGCGAGUGUGAGAGUGGAAAGUUCACACUGUGACGGUAUCUUACCAGAAAGGGACGGCUAACUACGUG
rnacentral:rRNA from 1 species